rnacentral:rRNA from 1 species
AGUGAACGCUGGCGGUAGACCUAACACAUGCAAGUCGAACGGCAGCACAGUAAUAGCUUGCUCUUACGGGUGGCGAGUUGCGGACGGGUGAGGAAUACAUCUGAAUCUACUUUUUCGUGGGGGAUAACGUAGGGAAACUUACGCUAAUACCGCAUACGACCUACGGGUGAAAGCAGGGGAUCUUCGGACCUUGCGCGAUUGAAUGAGCCGAUGUCGGAUUAGCUAGUUGGCGGGGUAAAGGCCCACCAAGGCGACGAUCCGUAGCUGGUCUGAGAGGAUGAUCAGACACACUGGAACUGAGACACGGGCCAGACUCCUACGGGAGGCAGCAGUGGGGAAUAUUGGACAAUGGGCGCAAGCCUGAUCCAGCCAUACCGCGUGGGUGAAGAAGGCCUUCGGGUUGUAAAGCCCUUUUGUUGGGAAAGAAAAGAAGCAGGUUAAUACCCCGCUGUUCUGACGGUACCCAAAGAAUAAGCACCGGCUAACUUCGUG